rnacentral:rRNA from 1 species
UACGUAGGUGGCGAGCGUUGUCCGGAAUUACUGGGUGUAAAGCGCGUGUAGGCGGCGGCGUAAGUCGGAUGUGAAAUCCCUCGGCUCAACCAAGGAAGUGCAUCCGAAACUGCCGAGCUUGAGUACUUAAGAGGAUCGCGGAAUUCCCGGUGUAGAGGUGAAAUUCGUAGAUAUCGGGAGGAACACCAGUGGCGAAGGCGGCGAUCUGGGUCGAUACUGACGCUGAGGUGCGAAAGCGUGGGGAGCAAACAGG